rnacentral:tRNA from 1 species
GCCACCUUAGCUCAGCCGGUAGAGCAACUGAUUCGUAAUCAGUAGGUCGGCGGUUCGAUUCCGCCAGGUGGCUCCA